AGAGGCUCUUGGGUUGUAAACCUCUUUUCUUAGGGAAGAAAAAAAUGACGGUACCUAAGGAAUCACCAUCGGCUAACUCCGUGCCAGCAGCCGCGGUAAUACGGAGGAUGCAAGCGUUAUCCGGAAUGAUUGGGCGUAAAGCGUCCGCAGGUGGCAUUUCAAGUCUGCGGUCAAAGGUCGAGGCUCAACCUCGAACAGGCCGUGGAAACUGAAAAGCUAGAGUGUGGUAGGGGCAGAGGGAAUUCCCAGUGUAGCGGUGAAAUGCUUAAAGAUUGGGAAGAACACCGGUGGCGAAAGCGCUCUGCUAGGCCAAGACUGACACUGAGGGACGAAAGCUAGGGGAGCGAAAGGGAUUAGAUACCCCAGUAGUCGGCGGGGGCGGCCGGACGG
rnacentral:rRNA from 2 species